rnacentral:SRP_RNA from 2 species
GCUAGGGUGUGGGGGCGCAUGCCUGUAGUCCACACUACUUGGGAAGCUGAGGCAGGAGGAUUGCUUGAGCCCAGGAGAUCCAGGCUGCAGUGAACUGUGAUUGUGCUAUUACAUUCCAGCCUGGGCAACAGAGCAAGACCCUGUCUCUA